AGAGAAAGCGGAGAAGCGCCAUUUUGUACGGAACGUUAUCAAACGUUAAAGCUUUGUGGACGAUUCUGUGGAGAGAAGGCGAGAGGUCGCUAUCCGUGGCUUAGUGGUGUAUCUCAGGGAAAAGGAGGAGGAUCUCUUCAAAGAGCAGGAUGGUGGCGGGGAUAUUACCAAUGAAGUGAUGAAGAUUGUAACCAGAGGUGCCACAACGUCUGAUCCAGCCAGCGCAAGGAUCAUACUUGAAGGAACAGAAGUCCUAGCAGACCUGGAUGUACCCAGAGCCUGUGCCUUGCUAAUGGGGCUGAUAUAUGCACUCAACCUCAGCUACCCAAAAGAACUGAAAAACACUUUUGAAGUGUUUCAAAAGAUAUUCCUCGAGCUGGAUGAUCUGAAAGCCAGUCCUAAGGUAAUGUCACUAAAAAGUAAACUGUUGUACUAAAAAAUGUGAAGAGUGAGGCUAUCCUCAAAUUAAACGGGAAAUGUUCCACUGUUGUUUGCAAUGUGUUGUGUUACAUACUGUACAGUAGGCAGUAGGUGUAAAGUUGAGCGUUGAGCAUUAAGUACACCUAGUUCAAAAUAAUGCACUUUAAAAGGAUAGCUCGGGUCU